rnacentral:rRNA from 1 species
UACGUAGGUGGCAAGCGUUGUCCGGAUUUACUGGGCGUAAAGAGCGCGCAGGCGGUCGUUCAAGUCGCGUGUGAAAGCCCCCGGCUCAACUGGGGAGGGUCAUUCGAUACUGAUCGACUCGAAGGCAGGAGAGGGUAGUGGAAUUCCCGGUGUAGUGGUGAAAUGCGUAGAUAUCGAGAGGAACACCAGUGGCGAAGGCGACUACCUGGCCUGUUCUUGACGCUGAGGCGCGAAAGCUAGGGGAGCAAACGGG